UACGUAGGAUCCAAGCGUUGUCCGGAAUUACUGGGUGUAAAGGGUGCGCGGGCGGACUUGUGCGUCAGAGGUUAAAUACCCCGGCUCAACCGGGGAAAUGCCUUUGAAACGGCAGGUCUUGAGUGUGAGAGAGGAUGGUAGAAUUCCUGGUGUAGCGGUGAAAUGCGUAGAUAUCAGGAGGAAUACCAGUGGCGAAGGCGGCCAUCUGGCUCGCAACUGACGCUCAGGCACGAAAGCGUGGGGAGCAAAUAGG
rnacentral:rRNA from 1 species